rnacentral:rRNA from 1 species
GAUGAACGCUAGCGGCAGGCCUAAUACAUGCAAGUCGAACGCUCAGUAGCAAUACUGGGAGUGGCGCACGGGUGCGUAACGCGUACACAAUCUACCUCUAAGCGGGGACACCUCCUGGAACGGGGAUUAAUACCGCAUAAUAUGCCGAGGUCGCAUGACUUUGGUAUUAAAGCAGCAAUGCACUUAGAGAUGAGUGUGCGUCCCAUUAGGUAGUUGGUGAGGUAACGGCUCACCAAGCCUAUGAUGGGUAGCCGGUCUGAGAGGAUGGUCGGCCACACGGGCACUGAGACACGGGCCCGAUCCUACGGGAGGCAGCAGUAAGGAAUAUUGGUCAAAUGGUGGAAACACUGAACCAGCCAUGCCGCGUGGAGGAA